rnacentral:sRNA from 1 species
AGACGUUGGUUGUUGAGCGACAGUUUG